GUUCUACUCCCUCCGUUGCACAAUACAUGCCUUCUAUUUGUCAAAAUAUAUAUGUAUCUAGACAUGUUUUAGUAUAUAGGUACAUCCAUUUUUGGACAAAUGGAAGUCAAGUAUUUUGGAAUGGAGGGAGUACACA
rnacentral:pre_miRNA from 1 species